rnacentral:lncRNA from 1 species
AUUUGAGCCAAUGGAGAAGUUCCUGAUGCCCACACCUGCUGGUCUCACCGCUAGGGCCUGGGCAUCACAGGCAGGGGGAAUGGGGAGGGGACGGUAGCGUCAGCCUACACCCACACGCAGUUUCCUGAUAAAAGGUCCUUUGGAAACUUUGAUUCUCUUCUCACCAAGUUGAACGGAGAUGUGUUCCCAUAGUAAGAGUGAGGCCCCUGCAUUUGCUGCCCUCGGUUUUCCCAACUAACACCAGGGCCUCCCCCCUGUACCCCAUUCAUAUGCCUCAGAAGCUGACAAUGACUGUUGGGCUUUUCCAAUGAAUACCAGAACACCAUUUCCUGCAGCCUGAAAAGAAGACAGUAUAAUUGUUUGGCAGCAAGAGACAGGAUCUCGCUGCGUUGCUCAGACUGGUCUCGAACUCCUGGGCUUAAGGGAUUCUCCUGCCUCAAUCACAGCCUCCCAAGUAGCUGAGAUUAAAAGUGCUCACCACCGUGCCAGCGAGUUCAGUUUUUGAGGGUGGAGCCAAGACUCUGAGGAGAGGGCUGAACUGUGAACCUAGAAGUACCAUCUCCCCCUGCACACACCUUUGGUCAAGUUGACCCCAAGAAGAAGGACAAGUCCUCUGCACGGCGAUGAGGCCAUACACACAGUCUGUGGCCCGGCUUUGGGAGACUGAUGGGACAAAGGAUGUUUUGCACGAUCCUUGGUCUCUGAGCAAAUAUAUACAUGGGUUAACACAAAGGCUCUCUUUUUGAAAAAUGUGACUGUGAAAGUGUGCCCUCCCAGAUAUUCCAGGCAUAACACAGGAGUGACUGCAUGUUUGGGGACAGUGCGGAGGCCACUCUGAUUAGAUCAGAGGAUGUGGACUGGUUCAUGAUGUAAAAGCUGAAGGGAGGCCGGGCACAGUGGCUCACGCCUGUAAUCCUAGCACUUUGGGAGGCCAAGGUGGGUGGAUCACGAGGUCAGGAGAUCGAGACCAUCCUGGCUAACAAGGUGAAACCCCGUCUCUACUAAAAAUACAAAAAUUAGCCAGGCGUGGUGGCAGGCGCCUGUAGUCCCAGCUACUGGGGAGGCUGAGUACUGGGGAGGCUGAGGCAGGAGAAUGACGUGAACCUGGGAGGCAGAGCUUGCAGUGAGCUGAGAUCGCGCCACUGCACUCCAGCCUGGGCAACAAAGCGAGACGCUGUCUCAAAAAAAAAAAAUGCUGAAGGGAGGGUGGUAAUGAAGGGAAGAAGACUCCAGGGUUUCAAGUGCCAUGGAUUAAGGGAGGGAGUAAAGGCAGAGGGCCAGGACAGAUGGUUGGAUCUGUCUUAGAGGUGAGGUACCUUCAAGAUGCCUCAGGGAAAAUGGCCAGUAGUCCAUCAGGACUCAAGAGUAAGACUCCAGGAAGACACUUGAAAUGGGAAGAGAGCUAAGAAAAUAAUCCACAUAGAGGUGAUCAUUAAAGGCGUAAAGAAUAAAGCAAUAACGUAAAAAAAAAAAAAAAAAAAAAAAAAAAAA